rnacentral:ncRNA from 1 species
AGGUUUGGUCCUAGCCUUCCUAUUAAUUAUUAACAGAAUUACACAUGCAAGUCUCCACACCCCGGUGAAAAUGCCCUCUAAAUCCACCUUAUCGAUUGAAAGGAGUGGGUAUCAAGCACACUAAAUUAGUGGUUCAUAACACCUUGCUCAACCACACCCCCACGGGUACAGCGUGAUAAAAAUUAAGCCAUAAACGGAAGUUUGACUAAGUCAUGUAAUAUAAGGAGUUGGUAAAUUUCGUGCCAGCCACCGCGGUCGUACGAUUAACCCAAAUUAAUAGGCCCACGGCGUAAAACGUGUUAAGGAUUAUAUAACAUUAAAGUUAAAAUUUAACCAGGCUGUAAAAAGCUGCUGUUAAUAUAAAAUGUGCCACGAAAGUGACUUUAUUAUCUCCAAUAACACGAUAGCUGAGAUCCCAAACUGGGAUUAGAUACCCCACUAUGCUCAGCCCUAAACAUAGAUAAUUCAUAGAACAAAAUUAUCUGCCAGAGAACUACUAGCAACAGCUUAAAACUCAAAGGACUUGGCGGUGCUUUACAUCCCUCUAGAGGAGCCUGUUCUAUAAUCGAUAAACCCCGAUAAACCUCACCACUUCUAGCUAAGUCAGUUUAUAUACCGCCAUCUUCAGCAAACCCUUAAAAGGAGGAAAAGUAAGCACAAUAAUAAUACAUAAAAAAGUUAGGUCAAGGUGUAACCCAUGAAGUGGGAAGAAAUGGGCUACAUUUUCUAAUCAAGAGCAUAGCCACGAAAGUUUUUAUGAAAUUUAAAAACUAAAGGCGGAUUUAGUAGUAAAUUAAGAAUAGAGAGCUUAAUUGAAUGGGGCCAUAAAGCACGCACACACCGCCCGUCACCCUCCUCAAGCAAUAUAGCCAAACAUUACAUAAUAAGAUCACAUUAAGACAAGAGGAGAUAAGUCGUAACAAGGUAAGCAUACUGGAAAGUGUGCUUGGGUAAAU